ACUCCUACGGGAGGCAGCAGUGAGGAAUAUUGGACAAUGGGCGAAAGCCUGAUCCAGCAAUACCGCGUGAGUGAAGAAGGCCCUAGGGUUGUAAAGCUCUUUCAGCAGGGAAAAUAAUGAUGGUACCUGCAAAAGAAGUCCCGGCUAACUCCGUGCCAGCAGCCGCGGUAAUACGGAGGGGACUAGCGUUGUUCGGAUUUACUGGGCGUAAAGGGUGCGUAGGCGGUGUAUUAAGUUAGAAGUGAAAGCCUGGGGCUUAACCCCAGAACUGCUUCUAAACUAAUACGCUAGAGUAUGGGAGAGGAUAGUGGAAUUCCUAGUGUAGAGGUGAAAUUCUUAGAUAUUAGGAGGAACACCGGUGGCGAAAGCGACUAUCUGGAACAUUACUGACGCUGAGGCACGAAAGCGUGGGGAGCAAACAGGAUUAGAUACCCUGGUAGCGACUGA
rnacentral:rRNA from 1 species